GACGAACGCUGGCGGCGUGCCUAAUACAUGCAAGUCGAACGCAGUGGGGACGGGUGAGGAACACGUGGGUAACCUCCCAUCAGAGGGGAUAACACUUGGAAACAGGUGCUAAACCGAUACUGAUGUAUGGUCCCGCGGUGGAUUAGCUAGAUGGUGGGGUAACGGCGCACCAAGGCCACGAUGCAUAGCCGACCGGAGAGUAUGAUCGGCCACACUGGGACUGAGACACGGUCCAGACUCCUACGGGAGGCAGCAGUAGGGAAUCUUCGACAAUGGACGAAAGUCUGACCGAGCAACGCCGCGUGUGUGAAGAAGGUUUUCGGAUCGUAAAGCUCUUUUGUUAGGGAAGCGGUAUCUAACCAGAAAGCCACGGCUAACUACGUGCCAGCAGCCGCGGUAAUUC
rnacentral:rRNA from 1 species